GACGUAGGGCGCGAGCGUUGUCCGGAUUUAUUGGGCGUAAAGAGCUCGUAGGCGGUUUGUCGCGUCUGCUGUGAAAACCCGAGGCUCAACCUCGGGCCUGCAGUGGGUACGGGCAGACUAGAGUGCGGUAGGGGAGAUUGGAAUUCCUGGUGUAGCGGUGAAAUGCGCAGAUAUCAGGAGGAACACCGAUGGCGAAGGCAGGUCUCUGGGCCAUAACUGACGCUGAGAAGCGAAAGCAUGGGGAGCGAACAGG
rnacentral:rRNA from 1 species